AGUGAACGCUGGCGGUAGGCCUAACACAUGCAAGUCGAACGGCAGCACAGUAAGAGCUUGCUCUUACGGGUGGCGAGUGGCGGACGGGUGAGGAAUACAUCGGAAUCUACUUUUUCGUGGGGGAUAACGUAGGGAAACUUACGCUAAUACCGCAUACGACCUACGGGUGAAAGCAGGGGAUCUUCGGACCUUGCGCGAUUGAAUGAGCCGAUGUCGGAUUAGCUAGUUGGCGGGGUAAAGGCCCACCAAGGCGACGAUCCGUAGCUGGUCUGAGAGGAUGAUCAGCCACACUGGAACUGAGGCACGGUCCAGACUCCUACGGGAGGCAGCAGUGGGGAAUAUUGGACAAUGGGCGCAAGCCUGAUCCAGCCAUACCGCGUGGGUGAAGAAGGCCUUCGGGUUGUAAAGCCCUUUUGUUGGGAAAGAAAAGCAGCAGGUUAAUACCCCGCUGUUCUGACGGUACCCAAAGAAUAAGCACCGGCUAACUUCUUG
rnacentral:rRNA from 1 species